rnacentral:rRNA from 1 species
GAUGAACGCUAGCGGGAGGCUUAAUACAUGCAAGUCGAGCGAGAAGCACCUUUCGGGGUGUGGACAGCGGCGCACGGGUGAGUAACGCGUACACAAUCUGCCCUAUACAGAGGAAUAGCCCUGGGAAACUGGGAUUAAUGCCUCAUGGUAUCUAUUCAUCGCAUGGUGAUAAGAUUAAAGAUCCGUCGGUAUAGGAUGAGUGUGCGUACUAUUAGUUAGUUGGUGAGGUAACGGCUCACCAAGACGAUGAUAGUUAGGGGGCGUGAGAGCGUGAUCCCCCACACGGGUACUGAGACACGGACCCG